rnacentral:rRNA from 1 species
AGCAGCCGCGGUAAUUCCAGCUCCAAUAGCGUAUAUUAAAGUUGUUGCAGUUAAAAAGCUCGUAGUUGAAUUUCGGGAUUGGCGCAUCGGUCGUGCCUCACGGGGUAUGAACUGGUGCAGUCAAUUUCUCACCUUCUGGAGAACCGCGAUGUCCUUAAUUGGGUGCCGCGGGGAACCAGGACCUUUACUUUGAAAAAAUUAGAGUGUUUAAAGCAGGCAUUUUUGCUUGAAUACAUUAGCAUGGAAUAAUAAAAUAGGACGGCAUGGUUCUAUUUUGUUGGUUUCUAGGACCACCGUAAUGAUUAAUAGGGAUAGUUGGGGGCAUUAGUAUUCAAUUGUCAGAGGUGAAAUUCUUGGAUUUAUUGAAGACUAACUACUGCGAAAGCAUUUGCCAAGGAUGUUUUCAUUAAUCAAGAACGAAAGUUAGGGGAUCGAAGACGAUCAGAUACC